rnacentral:rRNA from 1 species
UUUAAAGUCUAACCUGCCCAAUGAUUAUUAUUUAAUGGCCGCAGUAAUUUGACUGUGCAAAGGUAGCAUAAUCAUUAGUUUUUUAAUUGAAAGCUGGAAUGAAUGGUUGAACGAGAAAAAUACUGUCUCAAAUUAAUUUUAAUUAGAAUUUUAUUUUUAAGUUAAAAAGCUUAAAUAAUUUUAAAAGACGAGAAGACCCUAUAGAGUUUAAUAUUUUUGUAGGUUAAAUUUUUUAGGUAUAUUUUUAAUUUGAUUUGUAGAAUUAUUUUGUUGGGGUGAUAGAAAAAUUAAAUUAACUUUUUAUUUUUUUUACAUAGAUUUAUGGAUAAUUGAUCCACUUUUUGUGAUUAUAAGAUUAAAUUACCUUAGGGAUAACAGCGUAAUUUUAUUUAAGAGUUCUAAUCGAAAAUAAAGUUUGCGACCUCGAUGUUGGAUUAAAAUUAACUUUUGGUGCAGGAGCUGAAAGGUUAGGUCUGUUCGACCUUUAAAAUUUUACAUGAUCUGAGUUCAAACCGGAGA